CUACCAAAAGCGAAAGCAGUUGGUUAGGCUAUACCCUUUGUGCCGUGCUCACAAAAUAUCAUAACACACACACACUCUCUGAUAUGUGUGGCGCACUACACUUUACAAUGAAGAACGAAGGUUGGGGGAUCAAAGAGGAUCAGAUACCCUCGUCGUCCCAUUAGUUACAUCAAACUAUGGGCUCUCAAUUGCUCUCAGUUUAACUGUCGAGUAGAACUAUGAUCUCAUACCCUGACCUGCAAACCUGUAUGGCUCGAGCCUCCCCGCUCGCCAUUACUAAACUGUAUCGGUCUCAGUAUAGACAUAUCCACUCACCAUAUAAAUAAAGUCAUGUCGGCAUUCACUAUCUCUACGUUCUACGUACUGAUAUAGAGACAUAAGAUUUUAUGAACUUUGCGCUCGGUUAAUAUACGGUGAGAUGUAAGCAUCGUAAGCAUUUGCGCGCAUCCGUGACUCUUCGAGCCUCGGCGUCGCAUUAUGCUUAAUCUAAUGAUGUGAAGCACGUGUUAGGUACGCGCUUACUGCAGAAAU
rnacentral:rRNA from 1 species